UACGAAGGGGGCGAGCGUUGUUCGGAAUCACUGGGCGUAAAGGGCGCGUAGGCGGCCCUCUUAGUCGCGUGUGAAAGCCCCGGGCUCAACCUGGGAACGGCGCGCGAAACGGGAGGGCUGGAGUUCGGGAGAGGAGAGUGGAAUUCCCAGUGUAGAGGUGAAAUUCGUAGAUAUCAGGAAGAACACCCGUGGCGAAGGCGGCUCUCUGGGACGGUACUGACGCUGAGACGCGAAAGCGUGGGGAGCGAACAGG
rnacentral:rRNA from 1 species